AAAACACGGCGAAAAAACCGCAAAACCCCAUAAUUUUAACAAACUUGCAACCAGCCCCACUCCUUCAUCCCCUCGCUCUCUCCCCGUCCUCAAUGGCGCCCUCCAUCGUAAGCCCUAAACCCAACCUCAUCCCGAUCCCUCUCCGAUCACCCGGGCGACGCCUUCGUCGUCGACGAAGAGGGAUCCGGUGAUGCUGAGGACCAGCCCAUCGAAGAAGGUCCAAGGGGCCUCCGGCAAAGGCGAGGAGGAUCCUCAGCUUGUGGUGGUCGCCGUCGACAAGGACAAGAACAGCCAGCACGCUCUCAAAUGGGCGGCCGAUCACGUGAUCCCUAGAGGCUACGCCUUUGUCCUCCUUCAUGUCAGGAAACGGGAUGCCAGUCUAUUUCAUGGACUUGAAGAUGAAGUUUCAUCUGCAGACAUUGAGACACAAGAACUACUCACACCAUUUCAGUGUUUCUGCAGCAGAAGGGCGCUGAAUUGCAGGGAAGUCAUCUUGAAUGAUAUGAAUAUACCUUAUGCAAUCAAUGAUUUCGUGUUGCAACAUAGUGUUGACAAGUUAGUUCUUGGAGCAUCGUCUAGGAGUGCAUUUUCAAGAACUUUUAAGCAGGCAGAUGUUCCAUCAUCUGUUUCAAAAAUAGCACCAGGAUUUUGCUCUGUAUAUGUCAUAUCCAAGGGGAAGGUUUCCUCUUCUCGGCCGGCUAAUUGUGCAAAGACUUCCAAUUUCAGCGGGCUAGCUACCAACUUUGGAAUUGCUGCAAACCAAUUCCAGUCUUCUAAAAGUGAAAUGCUUGCCAAGCGCCAUAUGGAUUCUCCUAGAAGGUCCGCAAUGAUAAAUAAUGCAAUGCCUGGACAUGUCAGUAAAAAUGUGACUUCUUGCGGAUAUGAACAGAGAAACAAUGCCAAGGGAUUUCACCAUCCUGAAGAGCCUAAUGAAUUCCCUGUUCUUAGUUUCGCUUCUUGUCCUAGUCCAAACAGGACAAGCAUUGAUAAGGGGAGCAGCUCUUCCCCUCGAGUUCUUCUUGAUUGUGGGAGACAACAGGCACAUUUAUCAGCUUCAAGUAAUAAUGGGAAUAGUUACCUUGAAGAGCAAACAAAAAGCUCUGACGCAUACUGGACUGAUACUGGAUCCAGUGGAUAUAAGCAUUCAGCUCAUAUUGAUGAUGCAGAAUCUGAGAUGAGAAGAUUGCAACUCGAACUUAAGAUGGCUGUGGAUAAAUAUGAAGAUGCUUCUAAGAAGGCAUCCUACGGGAGGGCUGAUGAGGAACCCCCCAUGAUUGAUCGGUGGUCUGAAAGAAGGACAACAACUAAAAUGAACAAGAAAGAGGAAAAGAGAUCGAGAGUUCAAGUUGCAUUCGAGGCGGGCAAAGCUAUUGACAGGGAGAAUACUAUUUUAACAAAGGAAGAAAAGAAAUUUUCAUCAAGGCUGCAAUAUAAGAAAUAUGGCAUUGAAGAGAUCAAAGAGGUGACAAAUAACUUUUCAAAAGCGCUGCAGAUAGGAGAGGGAGGAUACGGUCCUGUUUUUAAAUCAACACUUGAUCAGACCCCUGUGGCAAUCAAGAUUCCUAGACCUGAUGUGGUCAGAGGGGUAGAACAAUUUCAACAGGAGGUGGAAGUACUUGGGAGCAUUCAUCACCCAAAUUUGGUUCAGCUCAUGGGUGUCUGUCCUGAAUAUGGAUGCUUAGUCUAUGAGUUUAUGGCCAAAGGAAACCUUGAAGAGCACAUCUUUUGUCGUCGUGGCACAGCUCCCCUCCCUUGGCAACUCCGCUUCAAGAUCGCUGCCGAGAUUGCCUCUGCCCUUCUUUACCUCCACCAAACAAAACCCGAGCCUCUCGUUCAUCGUGACCUCAAGCCUGCCAACAUUCUGCUCGAUGAAAACUUUGUUAGCAAGAUCACUGAUGUUGGUCUUGCUCGUCUGCUCCCUUCCAAUACAUCAACUUGCACCAGUCAAUAUCUUGCAACUGCUGCUGCUGGAACUUUCUGCUACAUUGAUCCUGAGUAUCAGAAAACUGGGACUGUAGGUGUGAAAUCUGAUGUCUAUGCUCUUGGAAUCAUACUCCUUCAGCUAAUUACUGGGAGGCCACCUAUGGGGCUUGCGCAUGAUGUUGAGAAUGCCUUGGAGAUGGGUAAUUUUGAAGGAAUGUUGGAUAGUAAGGUGUCAGGUUGGCCUAUGGAAGAAACAAUGAAACUUGCGAAGCUGGGAUUGAUGUGUGCUGAGCUUCGAAGGAGAGAUAGGCCGGAUUUGGGUUCAGUUGUGUUGCCUGAGCUGAACCGUUUGAGGGAGUUGGCUGACUUGUCGCUGAAGAUAUGUGGGAGGAUCUAGUCAGAGCUCCAAGUAUUUUCAAGUAAAUUUGGCAGGAUUCUCUUUUGUCUUGGGUAUUUUGGACUAAUUGAUAUCUGACAAGGUCCAAAUAACGUGUCCUUCCUCUGGAUGGAGAUACUUGGCAAAAUCCAGGAGAAGGCCUAGUGCAAAUGCAAAGUAGAGAUUGGGACUUUACUGUAAUUUUAUUUGGCAUUUUAACACAUUGCUGUGAUUCUGCUGUUACCAACAGUAUCCCCAUCAUGUAAAAGAGGCACUGAGGGGCUCCCUAGGCGUUCAUUUAACUUUAUAUAAUAUAUAUAUUUGGGGUUUGGGUU